AACGAACGCUCGCGGCAUGCCUAACACAUGCAAGUCGAACGAAGCCUUCGGGCUUAGUGGCACACGGGUGCGUAACGCGUGGGAAUCUGCCUCUUGCUUCGGUAUAACAGUUGGAAAUGACUGCUAAUACCGGAUGAUGUCUUCGGACCAAAGAUUUUUCGGCAAGAGGUGAGCCCGCGUAGGAUUAGGUAGUUGGUGGGGUAAAGGCCUACCAAGCCGACGAUUCUUAGCUGGUCUGAGAGGAUGAUCAGCCACACUGGGACUGAGACACGGCCCAGACUCCUACGGGAGGCAGCAGUGGGGAAUAUUGGACAAUGGGGGCAACCCUGAUCCAGCAAUGCCGCGUGAGUGAUGAAGGCCUUAGGGUUGUAAAGCUCUUUUACCAGGGAUGAUAAUGACAGUACCUGGAGAAUAAGCUCCGGCUAACUCCGUGCCAGCCGCCGCCGUAACAC
rnacentral:rRNA from 1 species